GCUUGUCUCAAGAUUAAGCCAUGCAUGUCUAAGUAUAAACAAAUCUAUACUGUGAAACUGCGAAUGGCUCAUUAUAUCAGUUAUAGUUUAUUUGAUGGUUCUUGCUACUUGGAUAACCGUAGUAAUUCUAGAGCUAAUACAUGCAUCAAACCCCGACUCACGAAGGGGUGUAUUUAUUAGAUGGAAACCAAUGCGGGGCAACCCGGAUUAUGGUGAUUCAUAAUAACUUUCAGAUCGAUCGCAAGAUCGAUGCAUCAUUCAAGUUUCUGCCCUAUCAACUGUCGACUGUGAUAUAGACGCUCACAGUGGUUUUGACGGGUAACGGGGAAUCAGGGUUCGAUUCCGGAGAGGGAGCCUUAAAAACGGCUACCACAUCCAAGGAAGGCAGCAGG
rnacentral:rRNA from 1 species